AUGAGUUCGCGUGUCAUAGGUUCGCCAUCGCUGGCCUAGAUGGUCCCCAGAACACGGUCUGUAAGGCCCGCUGCUCGUCCCUGGUGCAGUAAGACCACAUCCAGCUCCUGUUCCUUCUGCACACCGCGUGUCCACCUGCUGCCCUUGAGGUGGUCGGCUCGUCAGCACCCGGGAUGAGGAACUGCCGUGAGCAUGAGCCUCACCCCGCGCUUUCCUCUUUGUUCCACAAGCCACACCCUUCACGGAACUUUCUCGUGGACGGUUUCCUUUGCCUAGAAAUCUCUCCCCCGAGGGUCACACAACUGCCGCCCUCCCUGCCUUCAGGCCUGAGAUCCGGGGGCGCCUUCUCCAGGAGGCCUGUCUGACCACAGAUCCCAAAGCCCCGCAGUGGCAUGUCCGGGUGUUCUCUCCCUCUUCCUCUUCAGCGGGUGGUGCUCUGUGUUAGGAAAACUGCAGUCCCGGGGUUUGGUGAGAAUACAUUUUUAAAAAACGAUUGGUAAGCUUAUAUUUUGUCAUUGUUCAGUUGCUGCCAUCUGCCGUAAAGUUAAUGAAGAAGGAAUCUCGUUGGUGUGAAGUAAGCUGAAGGCGUGCACCACACUCCCUGUCUUGAUCUAAUUUUAGCCGCAUGAUGAAUGGCCCAGGGAUGUGUUCCGCUGCCCUCCGCGGAGAGGAAUAUACAUCAGACCUGCUCAGAUGUGAAAAUGGAGGCUCAGAGAGAUGAAACCGCCUGCUCAAGUUCUGGGACAUGGCCCGAAUUCGUAAGACCUGCUGAGCGGUUCUCCACUUCCCAGUCCCCGACACGGGGACGGCAGCGGCGUAGGUUGAGAUGGAGCCACUGGCAGCCUGGGUUCCUAAAUGACCAGGCUGAGCAGAGCUCCCCUGCACCCCAAGUGGACACACAAAAUGGAACCUUAGAAGCAAAAUACUUGAAGAGAUGCCGGCGGAGGUAGGCACUGCUCCCAGCGAGAGGGAAAAGGUGGGCUCUGACCCCAGCGGACUGACUGUAAAAAGAAAGCAGACAAGGAACUGAAAAGGCGUGAAGGUCGCCGGCCGGCCGUCUCUGGCAGAAAUAUUUGCGGGCCAUCCCCGAGUCCCUUCCUGGGUUCUUUACAAGUUGUUUCCGUAUGGGACGGACAGCUGCUGACUCCGGGGUCUUCGCCGGGAAUGAAAGAGCGAGGACCAGGAGGCUGGAACUCAGAGGCGGUGGCGGAGGCCUUUCCUUCCAGGAUGACGGCAUCGCGCUCCUCACGGGGGCUCUGCUCGCCUGCCCUGGACACCCACGGUCCCCCGCAUCCCCCACGCAAGAUUUCCCUGGAAAUGUGAUGUUUGUCUUUGCUUUGGGAUGACCAUCCCGCAGGCAGAUGAACACAUCUGUCCGAGAACUGGAGCCCUGCUACUGCAAAGUGGCGCUGGCCAUGGCAGUUCCCAGGAGGGGCCCCGAGGACACAGGUCCCUGUCCCCGGGCUGGGCUCUGGGCCCCCACCACGGCGGGUUCAGAUGUGCCAGGAGGGGACUCGGGGGGCGGGGGCCACGCUUACUAUCAGGCUGCCUCUGACAAUGCCUAAUGUAAUCCAUACACUACACAUACAUUCUAGUUACACAAUUUAUGAGGUAUAACAAGGGGAGAGAAGUGAAGCGGGCUUAUAAUUGUGACUGAUGUGAAACAGACAUGUAGAAUGAAUGGCCUUACAACAUUUUCUUUGAAGUUGGUUAAAAGCAGUAAAGUGAUCUUCGCCGUAAGUGAAACCUGCUGUUGCGGGUACCCACUGGCGUGGGGGACGUUUUUCCUGUGGACUCUGUUUCUUGAAUGUUAAUCCGCCACUCGGACGUUUUGAAAACGUUUCUUUCGCUGCGCGGUGGGAGAGAGAGAGAGAGAGGCUGCACACUGUGGAACGCCUACUACGCGCCCAUCCCGUGUCAAGCGCGUGGCCCAGGGAGCCCCAGUGGGUGCAGCGCUAGCGCCCACGGGAAUGUUUUCAUUUGAAUUUCUUGGAAAGCCAGAAGAAAAUAAUGAAUAUACUGAUACGAUACCAUAUUAAUUAAUUCCCAUAAUAAAAUUAGAAUAAUGAUAAUGAACAUAACAAGGAAUCCAGUCUGGACUGUGUUUGCCCUCUGCUAAUUUUUUUUUUUUAUGGGAAAAGGGCCCACGAGGCAGAGGGCUGAGGGCCCGCAGACCUCACAUUGUGGCCCUGGUUGAUAGACACCAUCUCACUGGUUCUCCCGAGCGACUGUGAAAGGCAGGAAGGCACGGGGAGAGCGAUGCCUCAGAGACUUCAGGAAUUUUCCGAAGGUCCUACAACUGGGACGAGGGAGAGCCAGGUUCUGAAGGCGAUGGUCUGACUCCUCCCACGGGAGAAGAGCUUCAUGUUCAGGCGGUUCUAUAUGGGAACGCCUGCCUGCGGCCGGGCAGAACGCCAUCUGGACAUUUGUUACCAAAGAAAUGAAUGGAAGUCCAUUCUGCGGUGGCCAUGUGUUUAUCCCAAGACUAUAGGAAGAUGUCUAGAAAGGUACGCCACUCAGAUGUCCCCAAGUUUACCUGCUUCAAGGUCAGGAUUGUCUUUAACAUUCACGUAACCCAGGCCUGAUCCUUGGAGCCAUCGUCUUCCCUCUCUUCCUCCUGGGGUCUCUGUGUUCCCCUAACCAGUCCUGGUUCACACUGACAGUCUCCGCUAAUAACCUCUCAGCCGGUUAUGAAGGUCACUUUUUGGGCAGGUUGCCACAGCUUUCUCCUCCCAGGGAUGCACCCCCCCCCCGCCCCCUCCCCCGUUCCCCAAAGCACAGCUAAGACUCAGCUGGGACUCCCACCAGGUUUUCCUGAAGUCUUGGGGGGUAUCAGUACCACAACACAAAGGGCAACCUAUGGCUGAUACCUGGGCUGACCAAGUGUCUCAGUCAGCCAAGACUAAGGGGCCCCGGCUGGGAAUUGAGCUUUUUUUUCUCAUCAACAGUGUUACUUGAGGACCUGCUGUAUAAUAAAUACCAUUGGACUGUAUACUUAAAAAGCACAAAUUUUCUCAUGUGAAUUAUAUUUCAAUAAAAACUAU